GAUGAACGCUGGCGGCGUGCCUAAUACAUGCAAGUCGAGCGAACGGACGAGAAGCUUUCUUCUCUGAUGUUAGCGGCGGACGGGUGAGUAACACGUGGAUAACCUACCUAUAAGACUGGGGUAACUUCGGGAAACCUGAGCUAAUACCGGAUAAUAUUUUGAACCGCAUGGUUCAACAGUGAAAGACGGUCUUGCUGUCACUUAUAGAUGGAUCCGCGCUGCAUUAGCUAGUUGGUAAGGUAACGGCUUACCAAGGCAACGAUGCAUAGCCGACCUGAGAGGGUGAUCGGCCACACUGGAACUGAGACACGGUCCAGACUCCUACGGGAGGCAGCAGUAGGGAAUCUUCCGCAAUGGGCGAAAGCCUGACGGAGCAACGCCGCGUGAGUGAUGAAGGUCUUCGGAUCGUAAAACUCUGUUAGUAGGGAAGAACAUAUGUGUAAGUAACUGUGCACAUCUUGACGGUACCUAAUCAGAAAGCCACGGCUAACUACGUG
rnacentral:rRNA from 1 species